rnacentral:rRNA from 1 species
UGGGGAAUCUUGCACAAUGGGGGCAACCCUGAUGCAGCGACGCCGCGUGAGCGAUGAAGCCCUUCGGGGCGUAAAGCUCUUUCGACCGGAACGAUAAUGACGGUACCGGGAGAAGAAGCUGCGGCUAACUACGUGCCAGCAGCCGCGGUAAUACGUAGGCAGCAAGCGUUGUUCGGAGUUACUGGGCGUAAAGAGUGCGUAGGCGGUUUUCUAAGUUCGGUGUGAAAUCUCCCGGCUUAACUGGGAGGGUGCGCCGAAGACUGGGAAGCUGGAGUGUGGGAAAGGCAGGCGGAAUUCCUGGUGUAGCGGUGAAAUGAGUAGAUAUCAGGAGGAACACCGGCGGUGUAGACGGCUUGCUAGACCAUAACUGACGCUGAGGCACGAAAGCGUGGGUAGCAAACA